rnacentral:rRNA from 1 species
AUUGAACGCUGGCGGCAUGCCUUACACAUGCAAGUCGAACGGCAGCACGGGCUUCGGCCUGGUGGCGAGUGGCGAACGGGUGAGUAAUACAUCGGAACGUGCCCUGUAGUGGGGGAUAACUAGUCGAAAGAUUAGCUAAUACCGCAUACGACCUGAGGGUGAAAGCGGGGGACCGUAAGGCCUCGCGCUACAGGAGCGGCCGAUGUCUGAUUAGCUAGUUGGUGGGGUAAGAGCCUACCAAGGCGACGAUCAGUAGCUGGUCUGAGAGGACGAUCAGCCACACUGGGACUGAGACACGGCCCAGACUCCUACGGGAGGCUGCAGUGGGGAAUUUUGGACAAUGGGGGCAACCCUGAUCCAGCAAUGCCGCGUGUGUGAAGAAGGCCUUCGGGUAGUAAAGCACUUUUGUCCGGAAAGAAAUGGCUCUGGUUAAUACCUAGGGUCGAUGACGGUACCGGAAGAACAAGCACCGGCUAACUACGUGCCAGCAGCCGCGGUAAUAC